rnacentral:rRNA from 1 species
UACGUAGGGUGCGAGCGUUAAUCGGAAUUACUGGGCGUAAAGCGUGCGCAGGCGGUUUGUAAGUCAGAUGUGAAUCCCCGGGCUUAACCUGGGAACUGCGUUUGAAACUACAAGGCUAGAGUGUGACAGAGGGGGGUGGAAUUCCACGUGUAGCAGUGAAAUGCGUAGAGAUGUGGAGGAACACCGAUGGCGAAGGCAGCCCCUGGGUUAACACUGACGCUCAGGCACGAAAGCGUGGGGAGCAAACAGG